ensembl:lncRNA novel transcript
AGCCGAAUAGCCGUGUUUGGGACCUGGGCUCGGGCUUCUUGCGUCCCCGCUAAGAACAUGUCACGGGGCCGAAUCGUCCGUAUUCUCUCAGCUUCAAGCUCCUCUACUUUUCAACCAGGUCACUAGCCCUUGACUCCUCUUAUCAAACUUCCGGAACUGCCACCCCACCAGUGACUCCACAGGCACCAGGGCAUGCAACAGGGCUGGGACAGGAAGGCUCUCUUCUUCACCUCAAGCCUGCUGGGCUAACACUUGCGAUUUUUACUAGAGUUAACUUUGUAAUGUAUGUCUCUGACUCUAGAAUUUCAAGAGAAGUUCCACUUAGUGACUCCUAAGUGGAAGUUCUAAGAUGGCUUCCCAGUGAGGUGAUGAAGAGGUUUGAGCUUUAGAGUGCGGUUGCAAAGCUCUUCUCUGACCUGAACAAUGGCUGUAGCUGUGGACCAACAAAUCCAGACUCCUUCAGUACAAGAUCUCCAAAUAGUUAAACUGGAAGAAGAUUCCCACUGGGAGCAGGAAAUUUCCCUUCAAGGGAAUUACCCUGGACCAGAGACAUCCUGCCAGAGCUUUUGGCAUUUCCGUUACCAAGAAGCAUCACGACCCCGAGAGGCCCUCCUCCAGCUCCAGAAGCUCUGUUGUCAGUGGCUAAGGCCAGAGAAGUGUACAAAAGAGCAGAUCCUGGAGUUGCUGGUCCUAGAACAGUUCCCGACUGUCCUUCUCCAGGAGAUCCAGAUCUGGGUCAGACAGCAGCAUCCGGAGAGUGGAGAGGAGGCAGUGGCCCUGGUGGAAGACUUGCAGAAAGAACCUGGAAGACAGAGGCUGGAGCCCUGCCUGAUGUGGCUCUGGGAAUUCCUGCAGAGAAGAGCAGGGGUGGCCAGGAGAUAGUGAGCAGCUCCCAGGAGGCAUGGAGGGAUCCAGAACCUGGACUGAAGAACCACCUAGAAAUAACUCAGCAGAAUUCUGAAAAUGAGGUCACGCUGGGUAAGAAUGCCUUUUUUUUUUUUUCAUAGUCAAAGUUAGCUAUGGAGUUUCUGUAGUAUUCACUACUCCAGACCUUUUUCAAGUUGAAUUUUUUUUCUUUUUCCCUAUGUCUGUUCUUACGUAUUUUUUUUAAACUUUUAUUUCAGUAGUGUUUGGGGAACAAGUAGUGUUUGGUUGCAUGGAAAA